ACUCAAAGGAAUUGACGGGGGCCCGCACAAGCGGUGGAGCAUGUGGUUUAAUUCGAUGCAACUCGAAAAACCUUACCUACCCUUGACAUCCUGAGAAUUCUGCUGAGAGGUGGAAGUGCCGAAAGGAGCUCAGAGACAGGUGCUGCAUGGCUGUCGUCAGCUCGUGUCGUGAGAUGUUGGGUUAAGUCCCGUAACGAGCGCAACCCUUGUCCCUUGUUGCUACAGGUUGUGCUGAGCACUCGAGGGAGACUGCCGGUGAUAAGCUGGAGGAAGGGGAGGAUGACGUCAAGUCAUCAUGGCCUUUAUGGGUAGGGCAACACACGUGCUACAAUGGGGUAUACAGAGAGUCGCCAACCCGCGAGGGGGAGCUAAUCUUCAAAGUGUCUCGUAGUCCGGAUUGGAGUCUGCAACUCGACUCCAUGAAGCUGGAAUCGCUAGUAAUCGCAAAUCAGCAUGUUGCGGUGAAUACGUUCUCGGGCCUUGCACACACCGCCCGU
rnacentral:rRNA from 1 species